rnacentral:rRNA from 1 species
AUUUAUUGGUAUAAGAUGGGCAUGCGUCCAAUUAGUUAGUUGGUGGGGUAAUGGCUCACCAAGACGAUGAGUUGGUAGGGGAACUGAGAGGUUAACUCCCCACACUGGCACUGAGAUACGGGCCAGACUCCUACGGGAGGCAGCAGUAGGGAAUAUUGGGCAAUGGAGGCAACUCUGACCCAGCCAUGCCGCGUGCAGGAUGAAGGCGUUAUGCGUUGUAAACUGCUUUUAUAUAGGAAGAAAUAGACCUUGCGAGGUAAGUUGACGGUACUAUAUGAAUAAGCACCGGCUAACUCCGUG